rnacentral:tRNA from 1 species
GGGGGCGUAGUUCAGCUGGGAGAACGCUUGACUGGCAGUCAAGAGGUCAGGGGUUCAAGUCCCCUCGUCUCCACCA